rnacentral:rRNA from 1 species
UAAUACGUAGGGUGCAAGCGUUGUCCGGAAUUAUUGGGCGUAAAGAGCUCGUAGGCGGUUUGUCGCGUCUGCUGUGAAAACUCGGGGCUUAACUCCGGGCCUGCAGUGGGUACGGGCAGACUAGAGUGCGGUAGGGGAGACUGGAAUUCCUGGUGUAGCGGUGAAAUGCGCAGAUAUCAGGAGGAACACCGGUGGCGA